rnacentral:rRNA from 1 species
GACGAAGGGUGCUAGCGUUGUUCGGAAUGACUGGGCGUAAAGGGCGCGUAGGCGGUCUUUUAAGUUAGGCGUGAAAGCCCCGGGCUUAACCCGGGACGUGCGUUUAAGACUGAAAGACUUGAGUAUGGAAGAGGUAAGUGGAAUUCCUAGUGUAGAGGUGAAAUUCGUAGAUAUUAGGAAGAACACCAGUGGCGAAGGCGGCUUACUGGUCCAUUACUGACGCUGAGGCGCGAAAGUGUGGGGAGCAAACAGG